GAUGAACGCUGGCGGCGUGCUUAACACAUGCAAGUCGAACGAGAAAUGAUAUUACGAUCUCUUCGGAGUGACGAUUUUAUUUCGAGUGGCGGACGGGUGAGUAACGCGUGAGCAACCUGCCCUGUACCGGGGGAUACCAGUUGGAAACGACUGUUAAUACCGCAUAAGCGCACGAUAAGACAUCUUGUUGUGUGAAAAACUCCGGUGGUAUAGGAUGGGCUCGCGUAUGAUUAGCCAGUUGGCGGGGUAAAGGCCCACCAAAGCGACGAUCAUUAGCCGACCUGAGAGGGCGACCGGCCACAUUGGGACUGAGACACGGCCCAAACUCCUACGGGAGGCAGCAGUGGGGAAUAUUGCACAAUGGGCGAAAGCCUGAUGCAGCGACGCCGCGUGAGUGAGGAAGUAUUUCGGUAUGUAAAGCUCUAUCAGCAGGGAAGAAAGAAAUGACGGUACCUGAGUAAGAAGCUCCGGCUAAAUACGUGCCAGCCGCCGCCGUAACAC
rnacentral:rRNA from 1 species